rnacentral:rRNA from 1 species
CCCUUAGAUGUCCGGGGCCGCACGCGCGCUACACUGAAGGAAUCAGCGUGGCUUUCUCCCUGACCCGAAAGGGUUGGGAAACCCGUUGAAUCUCCUUCGUGAUAGGGAUUGGGGCUUGAAAUUGUUCCCCAUGAACGAGGAAUUCCCAGUAAGCGCGAGUCAUAAGCUCGCGUUGAUUUCGUCCCUGCCCUUUGUACACACCGCCCGUCGCUACUACCGAUUGAACGGUUUAGUGAGGGCCUCGGAUUGGUCUCGGCCCGCUCUUUACCGGGCGGCGCCGUUGGUCGAGAAGACGCUCGAACUUGAUCGUUUAGAGGAAGUAAAAGUCGUAACA